rnacentral:piRNA from 1 species
CACCAAGGUCCUUCUUGAUGGUGUUAUGC